CCUACGGGGGGCAGCAGUGAGGAAUAUUGGUCAAUGGGCGAGAGUCUGAACCAGCCAAGUCGCGUGAAGGAUGAAGGAUCUAUGGUUUGUAAACUUCUUUUAUAUGGGAAUAAAGUGAGGAACGUGUUCCUUUUUGUAUGUACCAUAUGAAUAAGCAUCGGCUAACUCCGCGCCAGCAGCCGCGGUAAUACGGAGGAUGCGUGCGUUAUCCGGAUUUAUUGGGUUUAAAGGGUGCGUAGGUGGUUAAUUAAGUCAGCGGUGAAAGUUUGUGGCUCAACCAUAAAAUUGCCGGUGAAACUGGAUGACUUGAGUGUAUUUGAGGUAGGCGGAAUGCAUGGUGUAGCGGUGAAAUGCAUAGAUAUCACGCAGAACUCCGAUUGCGAAGGCAGCUUACUAAACUAUAACUGACACUGAAGCACGAAAGCGUGGGGAUCAAACAGGAUUAGAUACCCGAGUAGUC
rnacentral:rRNA from 1 species